UCCAUCACAGGCUCACUUCAAGCGAUCGGUUCUUGGUUUUAUGCUCUGAUGGACUGUAUGAAUACUUCAGCAACGAAGAGAUAGUUGCUCACGUGACUUGGUUCAUUGAAAACGUUCCUGAUGGUGAUCCUGCUCAAUACCUCAUUGCAGAGCUUCUCUCUCGUGCAGCCACCAAGAACGGUAACAGUUUUGAACAUCAAAUGAUCAUCGGUUUUGGUUGACCUUGUGAAAAUGAAACCAGCGUUUCCAUGUGAUGUGUGUAUAUUGCAGGGAUGGAGUUUCAUGAUCUGUUGGAUAUACCUCAAGGAGAUAGAAGGAAGUACCAUGAUGAUGUCUCUGUGAUGGUUGUGUCUCUUGAAGGAAGGAUUUGGCGAUCGUCUGGACAAUAUUAUCCUGAGAGAAAACCAAAAUUCAAUAGAUGAAUUUAACAACCAGUUGAACAAAAAAAAAAAAAGUUAAGGUGUAAUUGGGUUAUUGUUUUUAAACAAUCUUUCAAUUUCGAAAAAGUAAAAGAAGGAAAGGUCUAAGUCUAUUUAUAUUGCUUCCAUAACCUCAUCUUUGUUUUCAAUAGAAGGUUAGAUAAAAUUGGUUAAAUGUAGAUGAUAAUUCGAGAAAUUGAUAGGCGGUAACUAAUUGUUUUAUAAAGAAUUAUUGACUAAGCGGAUUAUUUGGGGUUUAGGUGUUAACUGAUAUUGAUAUAUAUUUACAUAUAUGUUAAAUAUUUUAUUUUUUUGCUCAGUUAUAAAUUUGUUUUGAUGAACUAUAAAAACUAGUAUAGAAAAAAUAUUUACACAAAUUUAUGGAUUUGUACUAAUAUUAUUAGUUAAUUAAAUAAAUUUAGAUCAGUUUUUAACUCUUUAUACUAACGGAUUAAACUGAUUUUAAUUGUAUAAAUCGGAUAUUUUAAAAAUUGUACAAAUCUCUUUCUAUUGCUUCUGCAUCCAUGAUCUUGUUCUCAACACAACAACUAACAUCAUAAAGGUUUAAGGUUUCUUAUUUAUUAUCAUUGGAGUCUCUGAGAGAGAAAGAGGGUUUCUAUCCAUAUCACUUUUGGAGUCUCUGAGCGAGAAAGAGGUUUUGUCACUCAACUUCGUCUCUUGGUCGGUUAUAGAGUCAGGCGCGUAUGAGUCGUUGUGAGCCGUUAAUUCACGGAUAUUUCGUCUUUAUAUUUAUUAUUUCAUAAUAUGUAAGAACAUAUAAUACAUAAAAUAAUUUAUAUAUAUAAUGUUUAUUCCGCGCAAGGCGCGGAUCUUAAUCUAGUAAUAAUAGUAUAGUUUAAACAAAACUUUUGUGAUGAACACAUGGACUUCCUAUAUAAUAGCCAACCGAGUCUUCAAAAUAUUCAUAUAGAACAAACACCACAUUCCUAAUUCCAUAAAAAAAAAAAAAAACUUAAGAACAUUACAAAAAAAGAACGAAAUAAUUUUCUUUAAAAAUAAGAAUAAAAAUCGGUGUGAAUAAAAAAGGGACCCCACAGAGAAACUUCAACCCAUGCAAAGGGUCCAUGGACGAGAGAACAAUAAUGACGUGAAUCACCUGUAAUUGUAUACCUCCAAUCAUUUGCAAACCCCAUAAAUAUAAAUCCUAAAAGCUUUCAUUUCAUUUUUGUAAAAAAACGCGAAUAAUAUAAAAAAGAAAAAUAAAAACCCUUAAAAGACGGUCUUCACUUUUUGCAUAUUUCAACGCAAUUGCUAGAAAUUUUUACUCUGUUUUCCUUUUUCUAUUUGUUUAUUUUUUUUUCUCAUUGUUAUUUUUUUUUUCUUACCCUCCCAAACCAUUUGAAAACCCCGAGAAAUAGAGAAACACACACCUCUUUUUUCUCCUCUGCUUCACCGAUGAGCUAAUUAGAAAUUAACAAAAGCUGAAAUCAUCAUUUUUAGCAGUUUCAAAAUCAGUUUCAAAAAUCAAAACCAAACCCAUUUCAGUUUCAAGCUUCUUGGUCCUCUUCAGCUCCUUUGGAUUCUCGUUUCUUGUCGAUUCUGAAUCUCGGUUUCUCCGUACAUCUCAAAGGAAGGGGAAAAAAAACUUUAAAACUACGGUUCUGGGUUUUAGCCUUUUUUCCCCUGAAAAGGUUGGAUCUUUAACAGCUGGUCGUAUCUGCAUGGUUCAAUCUCAAUCUGGGUCUUCCUUCCUUCUUCCCUUUUUUUUAAUUUAAUCAUUUUAAAAAUGGGUACUUUUUGUCAGAUUCUCUUACAAAUCUAAAGCUCUUGUUUUUAGUCCUUCCGAUGUGUUCUAUACACUCUCUCCUUUAGAUCUGUUUCUUGAUCCAUCUCCUUACUCAAAGCUACUGAAACAGUCUUCUUAAAGGUCAGAUCACUGUAAAGUCUCUCUCUUUUAACCUCUUUAAGCUUCAAUUUCAAGAGCUCUGAACCAAAGAUAACAUUUAGCUUAAUUUGUGUUUCAAAUGUGCAGAGAUUGAGCCUCUGAUGAUGCAAACGGCGUCGUAUCUUUGCAGGGUUGUGUUUGUUAUGUGUUGUGUUGGUGGAAAUUGCUGAAACUCUUUCUUGUCAAUGGGAUUGUGCCUUGAAGGUGUUCGUAGAAUUGCCUGAGUGAAUAAUGGGAAACGGAACUUCCCGCGUUGUCGGCUGUUUCGUGCCGUCUAACGACAAAAACGGCGUUGAUUCGGAGUUUCUUGAGCCUCUAGACGAAGGUUUAGGGCAUUCCUUUUGCUACGUUAGGCCGAGCAUCUUCGAGUCUCCGGACAUCACUCCUUCUAACUCGGAGAGGUUCACUAUUGACUCAAGCACGCUUGACUCUGAGACUCUCAGUGGAUCAUUCCGAAACGAGGUCGUGCUUGAUGAUCCUUCGUUCUUGAACAGACACAACAGUAAAGGUUUGGGGGAGACGACAUUUAAGGCGAUCUCAGGUGCUUCGGUUAGUGCCAAUGUGUCUACAGCUAGGACUGGGAAUCAAACGGCGUUGUGUUCAAGUGACGUGUUGGAGCCUGCUGCUACAUUUGAGAGCACGUCUUCUUUUGCUUCAAUUCCUUUGCAACCACUCCCUCGUGGUGGUUCCGGACCGUUGAACGGGUUCAUGUCAGGGCCUUUAGAGAGAGGUUUUGCGUCUGGUCCUUUGGAUAGAAACAAUGGUUUCAUGUCAGGGCCUAUAGAGAAAGGAGUCAUGUCUGGUCCUCUUGAUGUAUCUGAUAAAUCUAAUUUCUCGGCUCCGCUUUCUUUUAGACGUAGAAAGCCUCGGUUUCAGCGGUUUAUGAGGAGUGUAAGCGGACCAAUGAGAAGUACAUUAGCAAGAACAUUCUCCAGAAGGUCUGGAGGUGGUUUAAGCUGGAUGCAACGCUUCUUCUUGCAUCCAGAGAGUAGAGUGUCUUGGCCUGGGGGGAAAGAAGGUAAAUUACAUGGUGAAGACCACCCGGAGAGUUGUCUAGAGAGCAACCGUCACUUGCAGUGGGCUCAUGGGAGAGCUGGAGAAGACAGGGUUCAUGUUGUGCUUUCGGAGGAGCAAGGAUGGCUUUUCAUAGGGAUAUAUGAUGGGUUUAGUGGACCGGAUGCUCCGGACUUCGUGAUGAGUCAUCUGUACAAAGCUAUAGACAAGGAACUGGAAGGUCUUCUCUGGGUUUAUGACGAGCCAUCUGAAGAUAAUCCAUUGCAGCCAGACCAGGAACCUCAUUCUACUACACAGGGUAACUUGUUAGUUCCUGAAACUAUCAGUGAGCAGCAUUCAAAGUCAGCACAAGAAGGAAGUGAAGAGGUUAUGACUGAUAAUAACAGUAGCCUUGAAAAUGCCGAUGGUCCACCUGGAAAUUUAGCAGGUCCUGGCAAGAAAAGCACGAGGCUUUACGAGCUGCUUCAGUUGGAACGGUGGGAUGGAGAAGAAGUGGGACUUAAACAUUCUGUAAGUGAUAUGACCAAUCAGGUUGAAGAUGCAUCAACUUCAGGUGGAAAUGAUCCGUGUACCACAGAGAACACCGUUCUUGAUGAGAUUCCAAACUCAGGGCAAAUCCAUGGGACUAAAAAAUCACAGAUAAGCUCAAAGAUAAGAAGAAUGUAUCAAAAACAAAAGUCUUUACGGAAAAAGCUGUUCCCAUGGAGUUAUGAUUGGCACAGGGAAGAAGAAGGGACGACUUGCGUUGAAGAGAAGAUCGUAGAGUCAUCAGGACCGAUUAGGAGACGCUGGUCAGGAACCGUAGACCAUGAUGAUGUGCUAAGAGCAAUGGCAAGAGCACUAGAAAGCACUGAGGAGGCUUACAUGGAAAUGGUGGAGAAGUCCCUUGACAUAAACCCGGAGCUUGCGUUAAUGGGUUCAUGUGUUCUCGUAAUGCUAAUGAAGGAUCAAGAUGUUUACGUCAUGAAUGUUGGUGAUAGUCGAGCUAUCUUGGCUCAGGAAAGGCUCCAUGAUCGUCAUUCUAAUCCAGGGUUUGGAGUUGAGGAAGGUAUGGGGCAUAAGAGUAGGUCGAGAGAGUCGCUAGUGCGUAUGGAACUAGAUAGAAUAUCAGAAGAAUCUCCAAUACACAAUCUAACCACUCAGAUUAGUGUCUCAAACAAAAACAGAGAUGUAACUUCUUACCGGUUAAAGAUGAGAGCUGUUCAACUCUCAAGUGACCAUAGCACAAGUGUAGAAGAGGUAAAUGAAUAUGUCUUAUCUGAGCUUUUGUAAAACUCCAUUUUAGCUCUGGUUUGUCAAAAGCAAGUUUGUUUAUAUGUUUCAGGAAGUUUCAAGAAUUAGAUCAGAACAUCCAGAAGAUGAGCAGUCCAUACUCAAAGACAGAGUCAAAGGCCAGCUCAAAGUCACUCGAGCUUUUGGUGCUGGUUUUCUCAAAAAGGUAUAGACUAAUCUUCAAACUUUCAUAACCAAAGUACAAUGUUAAGGACUUGUCCGUUUCAUGUUGUUGCAGCCGAGUUUCAAUGAAGCUUUGCUUGAGAUGUUCAGAGUAGACUACAUUGGAACAGAUCCGUAUAUCAGCUGCGAACCGUGUACUGUCCAUCACAGGCUCACUUCAAGCGAUCGGUUCUUGGUUUUAUGCUCUGAUGGAUUGUAUGAAUACUUCAGCAACGAAGAGAUUGUUGCUCACGUGACUUGGUUCAUUGAAAACGUUCCUGAUGGUGAUCCUGCUCAAUACCUCAUUGCAGAGCUUCUCUCUCGUGCAGCCACCAAGAACGGUAACAGUUUUGAACAUCAAAUGAUCAUCAGUUUGGUUGACCUUGUGAAAAUGAAACCAGCAUUUCCAUAUGAUGUGUGUAUUUGCAGGGAUGGAGU
rnacentral:lncRNA from 1 species